UAAAUACUCCGUCCAUCCGAAAAUACUUGUCAUCAAAAUGGAUAAAAAGAGAUGUAUCUAAAACUAAAAUACGUCUAGAUACAUUUCCUUUUAUCCAUUUUGAUGACAAGUAUUUUCGGACGGAGGGAGUAUUUG
rfam:Triticum aestivum genome assembly, contig: Triticum_aestivum_CS42_TGACv1_scaffold_411633_5BL